UCCUGUGUUGCUUGCCUAAUGUGAUGGAAGUUAAUCCGGGAUGAGUCCUAAUUUUAGCCUCUCACCACUUGGUGGUGUUAGGUUGACGUGGAAGUACUGCCUGUUCUCCUUGAAUUCUUCGCCCUUUCGCGUUGCAAUCUUGGCACAUGGGUAGCUACUACUAGUUCCCUCGGAUGCAGAACUUUUGAAGGGUGCACAACAUGUUGCCGUUGCUUACCUACAAAGCGUUCAUGGCUUGAUGCGUACGACGGUUGUGCCUACCUUGGUCCCCAUCUUUAAUUAGUUUAGACGGGGCUCAUGCGGUGUCGGCGUUGCGUAGGAAUGCUACCUGGUUGAUUCUGCCAGUAGUCAUAUGCUUGUCUAAA
rnacentral:misc_RNA from 1 species